GCCUUCGUGGCGUAGUGGUCAGCACGCUCGGCUAGUAUUCGAGAGGUCCGUGUUUCGAGUCCCGGCGAAGGCA
rfam:Stegodyphus mimosarum contig79347, whole genome shotgun sequence.